UNANNANNNANCNAUNNNNNNNNANGNNNNAGCAAUUAUACAGCGAAACUGCGAAUGGCUCAUUAUAUAAGUUAUCGUUUAUUUGAUAGUACCUUACUACUUGGAUAACCGUGGUAAUUCUAGAGCUAAUACAUGCUAAAAAUCCCGACUUCGGAAGGGAUGUAUUUAUUAGAUUAAAAACCAAUGCCCUUCGGGGCUCCUUGGUGAUUCAUGAUAACUUCUCGAAUCGCAUGGCCUUGUGCCGGCGAUGGUUCAUUCAAAUUUCUUCCCUAUCAACUUUCGAUGUUUGGGUAUUGGCCAAACAUGGUUGCAACGGGUAACGGAGGGUUAGGGCUCGACCCCGGAGAAGGAGCCUGAGAAACGGCUACUACAUCCAAGGAAGGCAGCAGGCGCGCAAAUUACCCAAUCCCGACACGGGGAGGUAGUGACAAUAAAUACUGAUACAGGGCUCUUUAGGGUCUUGUAAUUGGAAUGAGUACAAUUUAAAUCUCUUAACGAGGAACAAUUGGAGGGCAAGUCUGGUGCCAGCAGCCGCGGUAAUUCCAGCUCCAAUAGCGUAUAUUAAAGUUGUUGUGGUUAAAAAGCUCGUAGUUGAACCUUGGGCCUGGCUGGCCGGUCCGCCUCACCGCGUGUACUGGUCCGGCCGGGCCUUUCCCUCUGUGGAACCUCAUGCCCUUCACUGGGUGUGGCGGGGAAACAGGACUUUUACUUUGAAAAAAUUAGAGUGCUCCAGGCAGGCCUAUGCUCGAAUACAUUAGCAUGGAAUAAUAGAAUAGGACGUGUGGUUCUAUUUUGUUGGUUUCUAGGACCGCCGUAAUGAUUAAUAGGGACAGUCGGGGGCAUCAGUAUUCAAUUGUCAGAGGUGAAAUUCUUGGAUUUAUUGAAGACUAACUACUGCGAAAGCAUUUGCCAAGGAUGUUUUCAUUAAUCAGGAACGAAAGUUAGGGGAUCGAAGACGAUCAGAUACCGUCGUAGUCUUAACCAUAAACUAUGCCGACUAGGGAUCGGACGGUGUUAUUUUUUGACCCGUUCGGCACCUUACGAGAAAUCAAAGUGCUUGNCUCCANGNNNNGNNGNAGNNNAANNA
rnacentral:rRNA from 1 species